rnacentral:rRNA from 1 species
UGGGGAAUAUUGCACAAUGGGCGCAAGCCUGAUGCAGCCAUGCCGCGUGUGUGAAGAAGGCCUUCGGGUUGUAAAGCACUUUCAGCGAGGAGGAAGGUGGUGAGCUUAAUACGCUCAUCAAUUGACGUUACUCGCAGAAGAAGCACCGGCUAACUCCGUGCCAGCAGCCGCGGUAAUACGGAGGGUGCAAGCGUUAAUCGGAAUUACUGGGCGUAAAGCGCACGCAGGCGGUUUGUUAAGUCAGAUGUGAAAUCCCCGGGCUCAACCUGGGAACUGCAUUUGAAACUGGCAAGCUAGAGUCUCGUAGAGGGGGGUAGAAUUCCAGGUGUAGCGGUGAAAUGCGUAGAGAUCUGGAGGAAUACCGGUGGCGAAGGCGGCCCCCUGGACGAAGACUGACGCUCAGGUGCGAAAGCGUGGGGCAGCAAACAGGAUUAGAUACCCUGGUAGUCCACGCUGUAAACGAUGUCGAUUUGGAGGUUGUGCCCCUUGAGGCGUGGNUUCCGGAGCUAACG